rnacentral:rRNA from 1 species
ACAUAAGUAACGAUAAAGCGGGUGAAAAGCCCGCUCGCCGGAAGACCAAGGGUUCCUGUCCAACGUUAAUCGGGGCAGGGUGAGUCGACCCCUAAGGCGAGGCCGAAAGGCGUAGUCGAUGGGAAACGGGUUAAUAUUCCCGUACUUGGUGUUACUGCGAAGGGGGGACGGAGAAGGCUAUGUUGGCCGGGCGACGGUUGUCCCGGUUUAAGCGUGUAG